rnacentral:rRNA from 1 species
UACGGGGGGGGCAAGCGUUGUCCGGAAUUACUGGGCGUAAAGGGCUCGUAGGUGGCCAACUACGUCAGACGUGAAAUCCCUCGGCUUAACCGGGGAACUGCGUCUGAUACUGGAUGGCUUGAGUUUGGGAGAGGGAUGCGGAAUUCCAGGUGUAGCGGUGAAAUGCGUAGAUAUCUGGAGGAACACCGGUGGCGAAGGCGGCAUCCUGGACCAACACUGACACUGAGGAGCGAAAGCCAGGGGAGCAAACGGG